rnacentral:rRNA from 1 species
GAUGAACGCUGGCGGCGUGCCUAAUACAUGCAAGUAGAACGCUGAAGGAGGAGCUUGCUCUUCUGGAUGAGUUGCGAACGGGUGAGUAACGCGUAGGUAACCUGCCUGGUAGCGGGGGAUAACUAUUGGAAACGAUAGCUAAUACCGCAUGACAACAGUUAUUGCAUGAUAACUGUUUAAAAGGGGCAACUGCUCCACUACCAGAUGGACCUGCGUUGUAUUAGCUAGUUGGUGAGGUAACGGCUCACCAAGGCGACGAUACAUAGCCGACCUGAGAGGGGGAUCGGCCACACUGGGACUGUGACACGGCCCAGACUCCUUCGGGAGGCAGCCGUAGGGAAUCUUCGGCAAUGGGCGGAAGUCUGACCGAGCAACGCCGCGUGAGUGAAGAAGGUUUUCGGAUCGUAAAGCUCGGUUGUAAGAGAAGAACGAGUGUGAGAGUGGAAAGUUCACACUGUGACGGUAUCUUACCAGAAAGGGACGGCUAACUACGUG